rnacentral:rRNA from 1 species
GACGAACGCUGGCGGCGUGCUUAACACAUGCAAGUCGAACGGAAAGGCCUCUUUCGGGGGGUACUCGAGUGGCGAACGGGUGAGUAACACAUAAGUAACCUGCCCUUGACUUUGGGAUAACUUCAUUAAACUAGGGCGAAUACCUGAUAGGAGCUCCUGCUACAUGGUGGGUGUUGGAAAGUUUCGCCGUUUGGGGGUGGACUGGCGGCUUAUCAGCUUGUUGGUGGGGUAGUGGCUUACCAAGGCUUUGACGGGUAGCCGGCCUGAGAGGGUGACCGGCCACACUGGGACUGAGAUACGGCCCAGACUCCUACGGGAGGCAGAAGGGGGGAAUCUUGCACAAGGGGUGGAAGCCUGAUGCAGCAGCGCCGCGGGUGGGAUGACGGUCUUCGGGUUGAAAACCGCUUUCGCUCAUGACGAAGCUUUGUGUGACGGUAGUGGGUAAAGAAGCACCGGCUAACUACGUG